UUAUAAAGUGCUCAUUUCUGUCCUAAGGCGAGCUCAGGGAGGACAGAAACCUCCCGUGGAGCAGAAGGGCAAAAGCUCGCUUGAUCUUGAUUUUCAGUACGAAUACAGACCGUGAAAGCGGGGCCUCACGAUCCUUCUGACCUUUGGGGUUUUAAGCAGGAG
rnacentral:ncRNA from 1 species